rnacentral:rRNA from 1 species
GUAAUGCAUUGGGAGAUCUGCCCUACGGAGAUGGAUAGCUACGGGAAACCGUAGAUAAUACGUCGUAAGCAGUACGCUAGAAAGAGUGUACUGGAAAGGCUGGGACCGAAGGCCAGUCGCCGAAGGAUGAGCCCAUGUCCCAUUAGCUAGUUGGUAGGGUAAAAGCCAACCAAGGGGAAGAUGGGUAACUUGGUCUUGAGAGGAUUGAUCAGGUCACACUUGGAACUGAGACACGGGUCCAGACUCCUACGGGAGGCAGCAGUGGGGAAUAUUGCGCAAUGGACGAAAGUCUGACGCAGCAACGCCGCGUGAGUGAAGAAGGCCUUUGGGUUGUAAAGCUCUUUCGGCUUGGGAAGAAGGGUGAGGGUGUUAAUAGCAUCUUCAUUUGAUGGUACCAGAAGAGGAAGCACCGGCUAACUUCGUGCCAGCAGCCGCGGUAAUACGAAGGGUGCGAGCGUUGUUCGGAAUUACUGGGCGUAAAGGGUUUGUAGGCUGAAAUGUAAGUCAAGUGUGAAAUCCCCGAGCUAAAUUGGGACGUGCAUUUGAAACUGUGUCCUUGAGUAUCGUAGAGGGUGGUGGAAUUGUAGG